UCGGGAAUUUUGGGCAAUGGGCGAAAGCCUGACCCAGCAACGCCGCGUGAAGGAUGAAGUAUUUCGGUAUGUAAACUUCGUAAGAAUAGGAAGAAUAAAUGACGGUACUAUUUGUAAGGUCCGGCUAACUACGUGCCAGCAGCCGCGGUAAUACGUAGGGACCAAGCGUUGUUCGGAUUUACUGGGCGUAAAGGGCGCGUAGGCGGCGUGACAAGUCACUUGUGAAAUCUCCGGGCUUAACCCGGAACGGUCAAGUGAUACUGUCGUGCUAGAGUGCAGAAGGGGCAAUCGGAAUUCUUGGUGUAGCGGUGAAAUGCGUAGAUAUCAAGAGGAACACCUGAGGUGAAGACGGGUUGCUGGGCUGACACUGACGCUGACAGCGCGAAAGCUAGGGGAGCAAACGG
rnacentral:rRNA from 1 species